UACGUAGGCAGCGAGCGUUGUUCGGAGUUACUGGGCGUAAAGAGUGCGUAGGCGGUUUUCUAAGUUUGGUGUGAAAUCUCCCGGCUUAACUGGGAGGGUGCGCCGAAAACUGGAAGGCUUGAGUAUGGGAGAGGUAAGCGGAAUUCCUGGUGUAGCGGUGAAAUGCGUAGAUAUCGGAAGGAACACCAGUGGCGAAAGCGGCUUCCUGGUCCGAUACUGACGCUGAGGUGCGAAAGCGUGGGGAGCAAACAGG
rnacentral:rRNA from 1 species